rnacentral:lncRNA from 13 species
UACGAAGCACUAUUGUGCUUCAUUGGCGCGACGUGCGACGCGAACAAAAUUUCUAUUUACCUGAACAAAAUUAAAAUAUCAGCCUGCCCGAUGUGGUUAAAUUAAAUCGUUAAUCACGUGAAAUGGGCGUGUGUAAGAGGGCAGCCGUUCAUACCGCCGGUGCGUCGUUUUAUGCGUGGCAAGGUUGGAGCUGUCUGACAAUGAUUGGCAUCGUCGUAGCUCUGAUAUUAUUCUGUUACAAUUAUGUAAACAACCCCCUAAGAGAGAGAUAAAUAACGAGUGACACAAAUUGACAUAUUGGAGAAACCUUCGAGGUAACGGCAUCGCGAAAUUAAACCUAUUCAAACUUACGAAGAAGUACGGAAGGACUAAGUAAAUCAGAAUUCCUAAAUGAGCAAUUACCAUAAUGAAGAAGUUAUUCAAGAAAACCUUCAACUUCUCGUUAAUGCAAGCAGUAACUGAACUAUUACCAGCAUCGAAUUCUCCGACCUCCGUCUGUUACAUUAAAAAAAGAUUAACAUAUAAUUUGAAAUAAUAAAUGUAUUAAAAAUGUAAAACAUAAUUUGAACAAAUUAAAAAUGACUUAUCUAAACCCAAA